rnacentral:misc_RNA from 1 species
AGUCGUAACAAGGUAUCCGUAGGUGAACCUGCGGAUGGAUCAUUACCGAAGCACAAGCUUAUGGCAAGUCAUGUGAAUUGUGUGUGUGUGUUUGUUGUGCGGCGCAGCGCGCUUCUACAACCAACCCAACCCAACCCUAAACGUAUCGAUUUCCACUUGGCUGAUGAUAUUAUGAUUGUCGUAGAGAGACACUUCUAAACAGUGAGAACAACUUUUAGCAACGGAUCUCUUGGCUCUC